CUGAGCUCCCGCUCGCCGUUCGGCCAUGUUUUUGCAAGCAUGAAAGGAAGAAAACUUAAAGGGAUCGAGGAGCAGAAUUGGAAAUGCUUCUACUUUAACUUUAAAGUCUAAAAGAUGGUAUUGGAAAAAACAUGAAGGUAGCAGAUGACCAAGGGAAAAUGAAAUCCUGGCUGAAGCAUUCAGCAGACUAGAUGAUAAGGGAAACAGCCAACAAUUAAAGAAAUUUAUUGUAUAAAAUUUGUUAAUAAAG